rnacentral:rRNA from 1 species
AUUGAACGCUGGCGGCAGGCCUAACACAUGCAAGUCGGACGAGCGGCGGACGGGUGAGUAAUGUAUGGGAAUCUGCCUGAUGGCGGGGGAUAACUACUGGAAACGGUAGCUAAUACCGCAUACCAUCAGAUGGACCCAUAUGGGAUUAGCUUGUUGGUGAGGUAACGGCUCACCAAGGCGACGCUCCCUAGCUGGUCUGAGAGGAUGAUCAGCCACACUGGGAAUGAGACACGGCCCAGACUCCUACGGGAGGCAGCAGUGGGGAAUAUUGCACAAUGGGCGCAAGCCUGAUGCAGCCAUGCCGCGUGUAUGAAGAAGGCCUUCGGGUUGUAAAGUACUUUCAGUCGGGAGGCGUUACCGACAGAAGAAGCACCGGCUAACUCCGUGCCAGCAGCCGCGGUAAUUC